AAAACCAAAACACGCGUUACUGUUUCUCAUUUCUCUCUUUCAUUUUCUGCAGAACCCUUCCGUCCACCACUGUUCUUCAUCCACAAACCCUCACUGCACGCGAAACCCUUCCGUCCACCACCAUCGGCAACCACCGUCGGCGUCCCUCCGUCGGCUUCUCCUCCGUCACUCGUUUUAUCCACCGCCGGUCUGACUGGAUUGAUAACUUUGGAUCUCUUUGGAGCUCGUAUCAUUGACUCUGGUACUACAUAUUUAGGAGGGUAACUUGUGUAUAGUGAAAGUUUGAUCGUUUCCCAGCCUAGUUCGACGUUUGGCGUUUUCUUGAGUUCGGUAACAUCCGAGGGGUUACUUGUGAAGAGUGGAAGUUUGACCGUUGUUGUUUAGCUUAAUUAAGACAUGGAUAAGACAUGGAUGAAUUCAAACCGAUUGUCGAAAGAGUACGAGAAAGGGG